rnacentral:lncRNA from 1 species
CUCAACAUGCAGAAGCAAGUCGCCUUUUUUCCUGGGAAACUUCAGGUCGUGUUCCUCAAGGGGCCUCUUGGGUUUCUCCUCCAGGAGCCAUCUGAUGAAGCCAAACAGUUUCCAAUAAAUCCAGGCUCUUCUCACUUAUGACGGCGGAAGAGGGGAUGGAGUGACUGCCUCGUCUGAAGACGACCAGCUGGUUGGAUUUGGUGCCCGAGCCAAGAGCAGGUGGAAGGAGAUCUGGGACAGCAGAGGUGAUGGCUAUGCCCAUUUUGUCACAGGCAGGAGCUGCGUUCCAGGUACACGAAUGUUCAGGUUGCAGCAGAACCUGCUGAAGAGGCAGCAGCCCACCACAUCUUCCACACCUGCUGAGCAUCCCAUGAAGGCCCCAGCUGAGCCCCUGGCCAUGGAGGAGGACGUGGAGAUGGAAAGGGAGAUGCUGAGCAUCCAUAACUCUGAUCUGCAAGUCCAGAGCUGUAAAUACACCGUUACCACAUUUAUUUCAUGUCAGACAAACAAAGUCCAUGUCGUAUCUGAUUUCUGUUGUUUUUCUUUUCACCUGUGUGCAGAUGCUAUGCCAGUAGCAGCAGCCGCCCUGCCCACGCCUCUGACGCAGGACUCCAUUGAAAAAAUUGUGCAGGGUAUUCUAGAGAUGCAGCAGCAGCAGCACCGACCAGAGCAGAAGAUGAGACAGACGAAACCCUGUCUCGCCUGUGGACAGCCCAAGUCUCGGUAUGGGACGGAUGGAUCUUCCAUCCACUUUUUCUAUCAGCAGGGUCCUGUUCGCGACUUCUACUGCUCAAGGAAGGUGCAUCAGACUUAUGCUGCUGAGGGACUCUCUGACCCCAGAAUGCCCUUUGAACAAUUUGCCGCGUCAGAGUUUUUCCAGAGGGAGCUGGAGGCCACCAAAAAGCGUGUGGAGGAAAAAGCUCGGAGACAGAGACCCGACUCUCAGCCACCUGAUCGCCUCUGCAGGUUCUGCCAUUUGACUCUUAAACAGGGACCAAACAGCCCACAUAUACAUACAGGGUUCCCUGGAGUGGCAGGUAAAUACAUUUACUGCCCAUCCAAAGUCUAUUCUCUAUAUCGGGACAAGGGGAUGGCCCGAGAGAUGACUUGGAAAGAGUUUGUGGCCACUCCUUUCUUUGAGGCAGAGAGAUGAAGAUGGAUGGAGGAACGGACAAAAUGAACUACAUGCCAGGAAUGCAUGUUGCACUACUGGACAUAGUUAUGAAAUUAAUUUUGCACUACUGUACACACUUUGAUAUUUAAUGUUGCACUGAGAUUUAAUGUUGCACUAUUGUACAUCGUUUUACAUUUAAUAUUUAAUUCCUGUACAUAGUUUGAGAUUUAAUGUUUUAUGAGUGUGUUUGUGUUUAAAUAAAAUUGAAUUUCCCACUUUGGUCCAUAC